CCCUUAGAUGUUCUGGGCCGCACGCGCGCUACACUGACGAAUGCAACGAGCUUAUAACCUUGGCCGAAAGGUCUGGGUAAUCUCCAAAUUUCGUCGUGAUGGGGAUAGAUUAUUGCAAUUAUUAAUCUUCAACGAGGAAUGCCUAGUAAGCGCAAGUCAUCAGCUUGCGUUGAUUACGUCCCUGCCCUUUGUACACACCGCCCGUCGCUCCUACCGAUUGAAUGGUCCGGUGAAGCGUUCGGACCGUGGCCUUUGGACGGUUCGCCGUCUGUUGGCUGCGGAAAGUUCGUUAAACCUUAUCAUUUAGAGGAAGGAGAAGUCGUAACA
rnacentral:rRNA from 1 species